rnacentral:rRNA from 1 species
UACGGAGGGAGCUAGCGUUGUUCGGAAUUACUGGGCGUAAAGCGCGCGUAGGCGGCUUUGUAAGUUAGAGGUGAAAGCCCGGGGCUCAACUCCGGAACUGCCUUUAAGACUGCAUCGCUUGAAUCCGGGAGAGGUGAGUGGAAUUCCGAGUGUAGAGGUGAAAUUCGUAGAUAUUCGGAAGGACACCAGUGGCGAAGGCGGCUCCCUGGACCGGUAUUGACGCUGAGGUGCGAAAGCGUGGGGAGCAAACAGG